rnacentral:SRP_RNA from 1 species
CGGCGGGUAGGGUCGGGGGGUCAGCCGUCCCCACCCGUCUGAAACCGGCUAUACGCAGGGACCAGUAACCCCCGGGUAAAUCCCCGAAAUCCCAUCCAGCCACCAGGAGGACAGAGAUGUGGCUCUGACUGGAAGGAGCCACACAGUGAGAAGUCUCCUUGGAGGAGGGGAUGAACCACGAGGCAUCGAACCGGGUCAGGCCCGGGAGGGAGCAGCCCUAAGGUGUAGUGUGGUUGCUUUCCACCAUCGGGGUUGAAUCUACCCCUUGGGAGGGGGUUGGGAGAUUAGGGUCGGAACCGGGGGAUCCGCCG